rnacentral:rRNA from 1 species
ACUGUCCCUAUUACUAUCUAGCGAAACCACAGCCAAGGGAACGGGCUUGGCCGCGUCCGCGAGGAAAGAAGACCCUGUUGAGUUCGCAGGCAGUCUGGCAUUGCAGAGACACUCGGAGGCGUAGCAUAAGCGGGAGGUGGUUCCUCCGCCGAAAUUGAAAUACCGCUACUUUGUUGUUUCUCUGCUAAUCCAGUGGAGCGGGAAAGAGGGCCCGCCGGUGCGUCCCUCCUUUCUCGAGUUCAAAGGGGAUGGGGCCCUCGUGUCGCCCGUCCCGACCCGCUCUGGAGACAGCGUCAGGCGGGCCUCUUGACUGGGGCGGUACAUCUGUCAAAGGGUAACGCAGGUGUCCUAAGGUGAGCUCGGCGAGGACGGAAACCUCGCGUAAGCAAAAGGGCAAAAGCUCAUUUGAUUUUGAUUUUCAGUACGAAUACGGACCGGAAAGCGUGGCCUAUCGAUCCUUUUGAACGUCUCGAGAGUUUCGAGCAAGAGGUGUCAGAAAAAUUACCACAGGGAUAACUGGCUUGUGGCAGCCAAGCGCUCAUAGCGACGUUG